ACCUCCACCUCCCACCAAAUCCCGAGUCUCCAACGUCCACUUCAUCCUCUUCUCCGGAUCACAUCUACAAAUGGAAUCCCCUAUUUCAACUUCCACGUCCUCGACCGAACCCAACGUCCUCCCAGUCUUCAUCUCAGCCGAGUCCCAAGCAUCCAGCUCCAUCAUCCGCCGAUUCCUUCCACGUCCAUGAACAAAGGCCAGAUCAUCUUCCUCCUAUAUCACCACACGUUGUUCUCGUUCCUUAUCCUCUUCUUCAAAAUAGAGCCAGCUCAUCCUUAUCCAUCCCAGCCGAUCCAAUCUUUCAUCGCCUACGGAUUCCCCCCAGCGUUCCAGAUUGAUUCUGGCAUCCAUAUUAACAGGAAUAUGAGAUUCUCACUUCCAGAUUUCUUCUCCCGAAUCGAGCCAAUCUUCCUUCAGUUCGCAGCUUCCAUCAUCCACAAGAUAAGCUCCAAUUUCAGCGUCCCACGAUCAUUCCAGCCGUCCUAAAUCUUCUCCGCGUCCUCUUCCCGUAUCUUCCCGAGCUUAUCCUCCCUUCCCAGCGUCCGGAUAGACUUCAUCUCCCUUUGAUUCAAGCGUCCAUCGUCCGCAUGAGCCAUCCAACCGUUUGCAAGCAACUGUAUCCUUCUCUGCUUCGGAACAGAGCUUCUACGCUCUAGCUCCUUCUGCAUCCGAGAUUUUCUCCGCGUUCUCCCAGCAGAUGCAGCUCAUCUCCUCUUCAUCACGGAUCAGAAUAACAACUUAUCACGGAUAAUCUCCCAGCAAUCAACCGUUCGCGAGGCAUCCACCUUAUCCCACUUCCGGUCAUCCUUAUCUUCCCACUCGGAAGAUCUUAAACAGAGGAGGAGAGGGGGGGGGAUGCAGGCUAUAAAAGGGAGUCGAACAUGAAGGCUAGAGGCAUCCAUUCUUCCUUCUUCCCUACCGGGGAAUGCUCCCAUUAUUCCUUCUUCCCCAUCAAUCUCUUCUCAGGAGGCGGAGUCCCACGGGAAACAGAGGAGGGAGAUAAGUUUGGGUCUUUUUGGGAAUGACUUCUCAAAAGAAAAAAAAAUGAAUUGCUAGAGAAGGAAGGAGAGAUCCAGGGAAGGGAGGAAGAAAAGAAAAAAAUGGGAGCCCGCUGCUGUGCCACUGCUGCUGUUGCCUUCGACUCCAUGGAAGGCUGAGCUCUGCACUAGGGACGGAUGCAGCCCUAAAAAAGGGACACGGGUUUUAUGUAUUUAAUUUUAUAUUCUUGGAGUUGUAUGAACUUAUUGUUUUUAAUGGAUAUCCUAUUUUAUCUCAUAUUUAAUUUCUGUGAUUUUAAA
rnacentral:lncRNA from 1 species